rnacentral:rRNA from 1 species
GGCUCAGAUUGAACGCUGGCGGCAGGCCUAACACAUGCAAGUCGAGCGGUAGAGAGAAGCUUGCUUCUCUUGAGAGCGGCGGACGGGUGAGUAAUGCCUAGGAAUCUGCCUGGUAGUGGGGGAUAACGCUCGGAAACGGACGCUAAUACCGCAUACGUCCUACGGGAGAAAGCAGGGGACCUUCGGGCCUUGCGCUAUCAGAUGAGCCUAGGUCGGAUUAGCUAGUUGGUGAGGUAAUGGCUCACCAAGGCGACGAUCCGUAACUGGUCUGAGAGGAUGAUCAGUCACACUGGAACUGAGACACGGUCCAGACUCCUACGGGAGGCAGCAGUGGGGAAUAUUGGACAAUGGGCGAAAGCCUGAUCCAGCCAUGCCGCGUGUGUGAAGAAGGUCUUCGGAUUGUAAAGCACUUUAAGUUGGGAGGAAGGGCAUUAACCUAAUACGUUGGUGUCUUGACGUUACCGACAGAAUAAGCACCGGCUAACUCUGUGCCAGCAGC